rnacentral:rRNA from 1 species
GAUGAACGCUAGCGAUAGGCUUAACACAUGCAAGUCGAGGGGCAGCAUGGUCUUAGCUUGCUAAGACUGAUGGCGACCGGCGCACGGGUGCGUAACGCGUAUGCAACUUGCCUCACAGAGGGGGAUAACCCGUCGAAAGACGGACUAAUACCGCGUACACUCUAUGUUGGGCAUCCAAUGUAGAGGAAAUGAACUUCGCUGUGAGAUAGGCAUGCGUCCCAUUAGCUAGUUGGUGAGGUAACGGCUCACCAAGGCGACGAUGGGUAGGGGAACUGAGAGGUUGAACCCCCACACUGGUACUGAGACACGGACCAGACUCCUACGGGAGGCAGCAGUGAGGAAUAUUGGUCAAUGGGCGAGAGCCUGAACCAGCCAAGUCGCGUGAAGGAUGACUGUCUUAUGGAUUG